rnacentral:rRNA from 1 species
CCUACGGGCGACAGCAGUGGGGAAUAUUGCACAAUGGGGGAAACUCUGAUGCAGCGACGCCGCGUGAGUGAAGAAGUCUUUCUGUAUGUAAAGCUCUAUCAGCAGGGAAGAAAAUGACGGUACCUGAUUACGACGCCCCGGCUAACUACGUGCCAGCAGCCGCGGUAAUACGUAGGGGGCAAGCGUUAUCCGGAUUUACUGGGUGUAAAGGGAGCGUAGACGGCAGCGCAAGUCUGAAGUGAAAUUCCGGGGCUUAACCCCGGAACUGCUUUGGAAACUAUGAAGCUAGAGUGCAGGAGAGGUAAGUGGAAUUCCUAGUGUAGCGGUGAAAUGCGUAGAUAUUAGGAGGAACACCAGUGGCGAAGGCGGCUUACUAAACUGUAACUGACGUUGAGGCUCGAAAGCGUGGGGAGCAAACAGGAUUAGAUACCCUUGUAGUC